UCUUCCUCUCUUUGGUAUUCUACCUAGUAAAAAGGUAGCUGAAAUCCCUGAUUUUAUUCCCCAUAGAGUCUAUCCUUGAUAUGUUCACUUUAACCAGUGACAUAGUUUCUCUCCCUUUUCGGUAUUCUACCCAGUAACUAAUAGUUAUAAUUCCUACUUUCCCUUGCUGAGUUUAUCCUUGAUAUGUUCCCUUUAACUAGUGACAUAUAGUCUCUUUUUGGUAUUCUACCCAAUAACUGGUAGAUGUAAUUCUU
rnacentral:lncRNA from 1 species